rnacentral:rRNA from 1 species
UACGGAGGGGACUAGCGUUGUUCGGAAUUACUGGGCGUAAAGCGCACGUAGGCGGAUUUGUAAGUCAGGGGUGAAAUCCCGGGGCUCAACCUCGGAACUGCCUUUGAUACUGCAAAUCUCGAGUCCGGAAGAGGUGAGUGGAAUUCCUAGUGUAAAGGUGAAAUUCGUAGAUAUUAGGAAGAACACCAGUGGCGAAGGCGGCUCACUGGUCCGGUACUGACGCUGAGGUGCGAAAGCGUGGGGAGCAAACAGG